CCUACGGGAGGCAGCAGUGGGGAAUAUUGGGCAAUGGGCGCAAGCCUGACCCAGCAACGCCGCGUGAAGGAAGAAGGCUUUCGGGUUGUAAACUUCUUUUCUCAGGGACGAAGCAAGUGACGGUACCUGAGGAAUAAGCCACGGCUAACUACGUGCCAGCAGCCGCGGUAAUACGUAGGGGGCAAGCGUUAUCCGGCUUUACUGGGUGUAAAGGGCGAGUAGGCGGGAUUGCAAGUCAGAUGUGAAAACUAUGGGCUCAACCGAUAGAGUGCAUUUGAAACUGCAGUUCUUGAGUGAUGGAGAGGCAGGCGGAAUUCCCGGUGUAGCGGUGGAAUGCGUAGAUAUCGGGAGGAACACCAGUGGCGAAGGCGGCCUGCUGGACAUUAACUGACGCUGAGGCGCGAAAGCGUGGGGAGCAAACAGGAUUAGAUACCCUAGUAGUC
rnacentral:rRNA from 1 species